CCUGACGGAGCAACGCCGCGUGAGUGAUGAAGGUCUUCGGAUCGUAAAACUCUGUUAUUAGGGAAGAACAUAUGUGUAAGUAACUGUGCACAUCUUGACGGUACCUAAUCAGAAAGCCACGGCUAACUACGUGCCAGCAGCCGCGGUAAUACGUAGGUGGCAAGCGUUAUCCGGAAUUAUUGGGCGUAAAGCGCGCGUAGGCGGUUUUUUAAGUCUGAUGUGAAAGCCCACGGCUCAACCGUGGAGGGUCAUUGGAAACUGGAAAACUUGAGUGCAGAAGAGGAAAGUGGAAUUCCAUGUGUAGCGGUGAAAUGCGCAGAGAUAUGGAGGAACACCAGUGGCGAAGGCGACUUUCUGGUCUGUAACUGACGCUGAUGUGCGAAAGCGUG
rnacentral:rRNA from 1 species